rnacentral:lncRNA from 1 species
GGGGGAGUAUAUGGUUGAUAGUGGCUGCUUUCAUUUCUAUCUACUCCAUACAUCCGACGGAUCCCCCUCCUAAAAUAAGGGUGACUCAACUAGAGUUUGUGUACACGGCGUGUACUUCAGGAUUUGUUACAAAAAAAAUGACUCGGGUUAUGCAAAUGAUGCCAGAUAUAAAUUAGUAACACAUAAAGAAAGACUGUAAACAUGUAGCAAGUAGGCACUGAACAAUGAUAAAACAAAUACAAACAAUAACACAAUGAACGUCUAUACACCCAAAAUGUCAAAUUAAGCGGAUACAACUCCAAAAAUAAGCUCGACUUCUGAAAAGGUCCCCAGCAGAGUUGCCAGAGCUGUCACACC